CGCCCCUCGGGCUCUGGCUGUGGAAUUGUGAUAGAAGAAAUGCAAGAGUCUGACAGGAAGAGUAGGAAAGCUCUGAACAGGAAGGGCAGGGGCCUGUCUGCUACUGACAUCAGCGGCUGCGGCACGGGAAGAGGAACCUGUCUCUCACAGAAAGAAAGAAGUCUCCUGGACAUUAUAAUGAUUAGACAUGAACCUGAAAGGAUCAAAUCUCCAGGCUUUCGAUAAAAAAAAACCCUCUUUAAGCUGUUUGUACACAGAUCAUCCGGCCGGAAGCAGGAUCUCAGGAAUUCUUCGAGAGGCCAAGGCGGGUCAGAGAGGAUUAGCGCAGC